UCAUCUCCGGGGGUAGAGCACUGUUUCGGCAAGGGGGUCAUCCCGACUUACCAACCCGAUGCAAACUGCGAAUACCGGAGAAUGUUAUCACGGGAGACACACGGCGGGUGCUAACGUCCGUCGUGAAGAGGGAAACAACCCAGACCGCCAGCUAAGGUCCCAAAGUCAUGGUUAAGUGGGAAACGAUGUGGGAAGGCCCAGACAGCCAGGAUGUUGGCUUAGAAGCAGCCAUCAUUUAAAGAAAGCGUAAUAGCUCACUGGUCGAGUCGGCCUGCGCGGAAGAUGUAACGGGGCUAAACCAUGCACCGAAGCUGCGGCAGCGACACUAUGUGUUGUUGGGUAGGGGAGCGU
rnacentral:rRNA from 1 species